rnacentral:pre_miRNA from 1 species
AAGGUACUCCCUCCGUUCGGAAUUACUUGUCUCGGAAAUGGAUGUAUCUAGAACUAAAAUACGUCUAGAUUCAUCCAUUUCCGUGACAAGUAAUUCCGAACGGAGGGAGUAGAUG